GACGAACGCUGGCGGCGUGCCUAAUACAUGCAAGUUGAGCGCUGAAGGUUGGUACUUGUACCCACUGGAUGAGCAGCGAACGGGUGAGUAACGCGUGGGGAAUCUGCCUUUGAGCGGGGGACAACAUUUGGAAACGAAUGCUAAUACCGCAUAAAAACUUUAAACACAAGUUUUAAGUUUGAAAGAUGCAAUUGCAUCACUCAAAGAUGAUCCCGCGUUGUAUCAGCUAGUUGGUGAGGUAAAGGCUCACCAAGGCGAUGAUACAUAGCCGACCUGAGAGGGUGAUCGGCCACAUUGGGACUGAGACACGGCCCAAACUCCUACGGGAGGCAGCAGUAGGGAAUCUUCGGCAAUGGACGAAAGUCUGACCGAGCAACGCCGCGUGAGUGAAGAAGGUUUUCGGAUCGUAAAACUCUGUUGGUAGAGAAGAACGUUGGUGAGAGUGGAAAGCUCAUCAAGUGACGGUAACUACCCAGAAAGGGACGGCUAACUACGUG
rnacentral:rRNA from 1 species